rnacentral:rRNA from 1 species
UGGGGAAUAUUGGACAAUGGGGGCAACCCUGAUCCAGCAAUGCCGCGUGUGUGAAGAAGGCCUUCGGGUUGUAAAGCACUUUUAUCGGGAACGAAACAUUGUCGGCCAAUACCCGGCAAGACUGACGGUACCCGAGGAAUAAGCACCGGCUAACUCCGUGCCAGCAGCCGCGGUAAUACGGAGGGUGCAAGCGUUAAUCGGAAUUACUGGGCGUAAAGCGUGCGCAGGCGGUUUUGUAAGACAGAUGUGAAAUCCCCGGGCUUAACCUGGGAACUGCGUUUGUGACUGCAAGGCUGGAGUACGGCAGAGGGGGGUGGAAUUCCACGUGUAGCAGUGAAAUGCGUAGAGAUGUGGAGGAACACCGAUGGCGAAGGCAGCCCCCUGGGCCUGUACUGACGCUCAUGCACGAAAGCGUGGGGAGCAAACA